rnacentral:tRNA from 1 species
GGUCCCAUAGCUCAAUGGUAGAGUGUCGGUCUGACGUACCGAAUACCCCGGUCCGAUUCCGGGUGGGACUACCA